rnacentral:rRNA from 1 species
AACGAACGCUGGCAGCAGGCUUAACACAUGCAAGUCGAGCGCGUAGCAAUACGAGCGGCAGACGGGUGAGUAACGCGUGGGAAUCUACCCAACCCUACGGAAUAACGCAUGGAAACGUGUGCUAAUACCGUAUACGCCCUUUGGGGGAAAGAUUUAUCGGGGAUGGAUGAGCCCGCGUUGGAUUAGCUAGUUGGUGGGGUAAAGGCCUACCAAGGCGACGAUCCAUAGCUGGUCUGAGAGGAUGAUCAGCCACACUGGGACUGAGACACGGCCCAGACUCCUACGGGAGGCAGCAGUGGGGAAUAUUGGACAAUGGGGCGAAAGCCUGAUCCAGCAAUGCCGCGUGAGUGAUGAAGG